rnacentral:misc_RNA from 1 species
UCGCGGCUUAUCACCGGCAGUCUCCUUAGAGUCCCCACCAUUACGUGCUGGCAACUAAGGACAGGGGUUGCGCUCGUUGCGGCACUUAAGCCAACACCUCACGGCACGAGCUGACGACAGCCAUGCACCACCUGUGCUAGCCCCAAAAGGACACGGGCUUUCACCCGCUUUAACUAGCAUGUCAAGCCUAGGUAAGGUUCUUCGCGUUGCAUCGAAUUAAGCCGCAUGCUCCGCCGCUUGUGCGGGUCCCCGUCAAUUCCUUUGAGUUUUAGCCUUGCGGCCGUACUCCCCAGGCGGAGUGCUUAAUGCGUUAGCUGCGGCACGGAAAGGGUUGAAGACCUCCCCACACCUAGCACUCAACGUUUACGGCUGGGACUAC